CCUACGGGUGGCAGCAGUGGGGGAUAUUGGACAAUGGGGGAAACCCUGAUCCAGCGACGCCGCGUGAGUGAAGAAGUAUUUCUGUAUGUAAAGCUCUGUCAGCAGGGAAGAAAGAAGUGACGGUACCUGACCAAGAAGCCCCGGCUAACUACGUGCCAGCAGCCGCGGUAAUACGUAGGGGGCAAGCGUUAUCCGGAAUUACUGGGUGUAAAGGGAGCGUAGACGGUGAUGCAAGUCUGCAGUGAAAGGCGGGGGCCCAACCCCGGGACUGCUCUGGAAACUGGGUAACUUGAGUGCAGGGGAGGUAAGCGGAAUUCGUGGUGUAGCGGUGAAAUGCGUAGAUAUUAGGAAGAACACCAGUGGCGAAGGCGGCUUACUGGACUGUAACUGACGCUGAGGCUCGAAGGCGUGGGGAGCGAACAGGAUUAGAUACCCCAGUAGUC
rnacentral:rRNA from 1 species